rnacentral:piRNA from 1 species
UGAGAAAGGUGCGCACUUGUUUCAAGUC